GAAAAUCGUAGGGUGAUAAAUGUGUAAUUGGUUGAAACCACUGGAGGUUUUUGCAAUUUCCACUGGAAGAAAGAAAAGGAAAGAUCUAAGUGGCAUGCCCAUAUUGCUUUUUUAAUUUUCAAAAAUUUCAGAUCUAUUGAUUUAUAUAGGGUUUCCAGUAAGUACUGCAUCCUGGCAUAAGUAGGGUAUCAUGAACCUGUUGCAUUUCGGGUAACAUAGUAUUCCUUGUUCCAAGUUAUCAGUUGUGAUUGUGAUAGUUAAAUG
rnacentral:misc_RNA from 1 species